UAACUAGCCCCGGUGGCCGAAUGGGUAAUGCGGCCACCUGGUAGCGCCUUGGCGUGGGGACCCAAGGCGCGUGGGUUCGAAACCCGCAGGGGACAACAUUACAUCCGGAGCCAACUUCUCAGCUCCUAAAAUAAUGGGAUGUGAACCUGCCAAGUAGGUACCUUCGGGCGGACCUACUACUUGAUUUAGCUGAUUUUUCCUGGGCUGGGAACCUGUAUUGCAUGUACCAAAUCCUGUCUUUCAUUAAUUUUCCUAUGUUCCUGUUAUAUUCUUGGCGUCGUUCAACACUAAGCAUUCCUCCUGUAUAACCAACU
rnacentral:sRNA from 1 species